UACGAAGGGGGCUAGCGUUGCUCGGAAUCACUGGGCGUAAAGGGUGCGUAGGCGGGUCUUUUAAGUCAGGGGUGAAAUCCUGGAGCUCAACUCCAGAACUGCCUUUGAUACUGAGGAGCUUGAGUCCGGGAGAGGUGAGUGGAACUGCGAGUGUAGAGGUGAAAUUCGUAGAUAUUCGCAAGAACACCAGUGGCGAAGGCGGCUCACUGGCCCGGUACUGACGCUGAGGUGCGAAAGCGUGGGGAGCAAACAGG
rnacentral:rRNA from 1 species